UACAGAGGGUGCGAGCGUUGUCCGGAAUCACUGGGCGUAAAGGGCGCGUAGGCGGCUUGAUAAGCGUGCGGUGAAAGCCCGGGGCUCAACCCCGGGUCGGCCGUGCGAACUGUCGAGCUGGAGCACUGUAGAGGCAGGUGGAAUUCCGGGUGUAGCGGUGGAAUGCGUAGAGAUCGAGAGGAACACCAGUGGCGAAGGCGAGUCUCUGGACGACUCCUGACACUGAGGCACGAAAGCUAGGGGAGCAAACAGG
rnacentral:rRNA from 1 species